rnacentral:sRNA from 1 species
UUGACACUUUAAAGUUGGUGUUGGUAUUAGGAGAUCUGCACAUCCCACACCGGUGCAACAGUUUGCCAGCUAAAUUCAAAAAACUCCUGGUGCCAGGAAAAAUUCAGCACAUUCUCUGCACAGGAAACCUUUGCACCAAAGAGAGUUAUGACUAUCUCAAGACUCUGGCUGGUGAUGUUCAUAUUGUGAGAGGAGACUUCGAUGAGAAACAUUAUUCCAUCAUUUGUGUUGAUGGAUAUCCAGGCUUCUACAGUGGUCACCUAUGUGUAUCAGCUAAUUGGAGAUGAUGUGAAAGUAGAACGAAUCGAAUACAAAAAAUCUUAAAGCCAGGCCUGUCUUGAUGAUUUUUGGUUUUUUUUCAUUGUCCUGUUGAAAUCAAGUAAUUAAACAUUUAAGAGCCACAAAUUGUAUCACUUUUAUAAUAUUUUGCAGUAAAAUAUACCAUCUUCUCUGUUAAUACAUAAUUGCUCCAAGCUUCCUGUAAACUAUAAGAAUAUAUUUAGUUUACAGUAUAUGGAUUCUAUGAAAAAAUGUCCACAACACAGUAAUUGGUCACUUGUUAAGAAAAAUUUAUCCUUGUAAGUAUCUUCAAAG